rnacentral:rRNA from 1 species
UUCCGGUUGAUCCCGCCGGACCCGACUGCUAUCAGAGUGGGACUAAGCCAUGCGAGUCAACGCCGUAAGGCGUGGCAUACGGCUCAGUAACACGUAGUCAACAUGCCCAAAGGAUGUGGAUAACCUCGGGAAACUGAGGAUAAGCCGCGAUAGGCCAAGGUUUCUGGAAUGAGCCAUGGCCGAAAUCUAUAUGGCCUUUGGAUUGGACUGCGGCCGAUCAGGCUGUUGGUGAGGUAAUGGCCCACCAAACCUGUAGCCGGUACGGGCUUUGAGAGAAGGAGCCCGGAGAUGGGCACUGAGACAAGGGCCCAAGCCCUAUGGGGCGCAGCAGGCGCGAAACCUCUGCA